ACGGGUGAGUUCACGUGGGUGAUCUGCCCUGCACUUUGGGAUAAGCCUGGUAAACUGGGUCUAAUACCGAAUAUGACCAUGCGCCUCCUGGUGUGUGGUGGAAAGCUUUUGCGGUGUGGGAUGGNNNNNNNNCCUAUCAGCUUGUUGGUGGGGUAAUGGCCUACCANNNNNACGACGGGUAGCCGGCCUGAGAGGGUGACCGGCCACACUGGGACUGAGAUACGGCCCAGACUCCUACGGGAGGCAGCAGUGGGGAAUAUUGCACAAUGGGCGCAAGCCUGAUGCAGCGACGCCGCGUGAGGGAUGACGGCCUUCGGGUUGUAAACCUCUUUCAGCACAGACGAAGCGCAAGUGACGGUAUGUGCAGAAGAAGGACCGGCCAACUACGUGCCAGCAGCCGCGGUAAUACGUAGGGUCCGAGCGUUGUCCGGAAUUACUGGGCGUAAAGAGCUCGUAGGUGGUUUGUCGCGUUGUUCGUGAAAACUCACAGCUUAACUGUGGGCGUGCGGGCGAUACGGGCAGACUUGAGUACUGCAGGGGAGACUGGAAUUCCUGGUGUAGCGGUGGAAUGCGCAGAUAUCAGGAGGAACACCGGUGGCGAAGGCGGGUCUCUGGGCAGUAACCGACGCUGAGGAGCGAAAGCGUGGGGAGCGAACAGGAUUAGAUACCCUGGUAGUCCCCGCCGUANACGGUGGGUACUAGGUGUGGGUUUCCUUCCUUGGGAUCCGUGCCGUAGCUAACGCAUUAAGUACCCCGCCUGGNGAGUACGGCCGCAAGGCUAAAACUCAAAGAAAUUGACGGGGGCNNNCACAAGCGGCGGAGCAUGUGGAUUAAUUCGAUGCAACGCGAAGAACCUUACCUGGGUU
rnacentral:rRNA from 1 species